rnacentral:rRNA from 1 species
UGCAGUCCAACGCGAACGCACCUUCGGGUGUUAGUAGAGUGGCGGACGGGUGAGUAACACUUGGGAAUCUGCCUAGUAGUGGGGGAUAACUCGGGGAAACUCGAGCUAAUACCGCAUACGCCCUACGGGGGAAAGAUUUAUCGCUAUUAGAUGAGCCCAAGUCAGAUUAGCUAGUUGGUAGGGUAAAGGCCUACCAAGGCGACGAUCUGUAGCUGGUCUGAGAGGACGAACAGCCACACUGGGACUGAGACACGGCCCAGACUCCUACGGGAGGCAGCAGUGGGGAAUAUUGGACAAUGGGCGAAAGCCUGAUCCAGCAAUGCCGCGUGUGUGAAGAAGGCCUGCGGGUUGUAAAGCACUUUCAGUUGGGAAGAUGAUGACGUUACCAACAGAAGAAGCACCGGCUAACUCCGUG